rnacentral:rRNA from 1 species
GGAAGUAAAAGUCGUAACAAGGUUUCCGUAGGUGAACCUGCGGAAGGAUCAUUACUGAUUUAGCGAACCGAGCGUUAGCGAGGUUUUGCGAUCAACUUGUAUUUAAAACCCACUCUUCAAUGUAUAAAAUUUGUAUUAAUGAUAAAUUAAAAGAUCACUUUCAACAACGGAUCUCUUGGCCCUCGCAUCGAUGAAGAACGUAGCGAAGUGCGAUAAGUAAUGUGAAUUGCAGUAUUCCGUGAAUCAUCGAACCUUUGAACGCAUAUUGCACUUUCUGGUAUUCCGGAAAGUAUGCCUGUUUGAGGGUCAGUUAAAUAAAAAUCGGUGUUGUUGCCGCUUUCCGUGGUGACGCGUCGGAAUUGAGUCGUCUUCGGUUAAGUGACUUAAAAUUUUAUAUGAUUUUCGAACGUAUUUAAAUUUAUUUGAACGUUUGAUAUCGAAUGCUUAUUAGGUUCGGUCAUCCUCAUGACUCGCGCCUAUAAUUUUUCAUUAAAUGACCUCAAAUCAGGUAAGAAUACCCGCUGAACUUAAGCAUAUCAAUAAGCGGAGGA